rnacentral:rRNA from 1 species
AUUGAACGCUGGCGGCAUGCCUAACACAUGCAAGUCGAACGAGUGGCGGACGGGUGAGUAAUGUCUGGGAAAGUGCCUGAUGGAGGGGGAUAACUACUGGAAACGGUGGCUAAUACCGCAUACCAUCGGAUCGGGCGAGAGGGGAUUAGCUAGUAGGGGGGGUAAAGGCUCACCUAGGCGACGAUCCCUAGCUGGUCUGAGAGGAUGACCAGCCACACUGGAACUGAGACACGGUCCAGACUCCUACGGGAGGCAGCAGUGGGGAAUAUUGGACAAUGGGCGAAAGCCUGAUGCAGCCAUGCCGCGUGUAUGAAGAAGGCCUUCGGGUUGUAAAGUACUUUCAGCGGGGAAGCGGUACCCGCAGAAGAAGCACCGGCUAACUACGUGCCAGCAGCCGCGGUAAUUC